rnacentral:rRNA from 1 species
UGGGGAAUAUUGCACAAUGGGCGCAAGCCUGAUGCAGCCAUGCCGCGUGUAUGAAGAAGGCCUUCGGGUUGUAAAGCACUUUCAGUCGGGAGGAAGGUGGUAAGGUUAAUAACCUUAUCAAUUGACGUUACCGACAGAAGAAGCACCGGCUAACUCCGUGCCAGCAGCCGCGGUAAUACGGAGGGUGCAAGCGUUAAUCGGAAUUACUGGGCGUAAAGCGCACGCAGGCGGUUGAUUGAGUCAGAUGUGAAAUCCCCGGGCUUAACCCGGGAAUUGCAUCUGAUACUGGUCAGCUAGAGUCUUGUAGAGGGGGGUAGAAUUCCAUGUGUAGCGGUGAAAUGCGUAGAGAUGUGGAGGAAUACCGGUGGCGAAGGCGGCCCCCUGGACAAAGACUGACGCUCAGGUGCGAAAGCGUGGGGAGCAAACAGG